UCCCCCUAUUUUCUAGAUUACAACUAGAACUAACUAGAACUAGAACUAGAGGAACUAGAACUAGAACUAGAUGAACUAGAACUAGAUCUAGAUGAACUAGAGGUAGAACUAGAAGAACUAGAGGGAUCCUCUCUACUUGGAUGAAGAAUUGAAACCCUAACUUUGAUUCUGUAGAAGAGGUAUGAUCUCCAGGGGCCAGGAGGCCUUGCUUAUAUAGUCUUUUCAGAUGAAUCUGGGCCGUCGGAUCAAACCGACAUUGGUCGUGUGGUUUUUCUUGAAGUAUUAGGUCGGUGGAGCAUGAUCCGCGAAACGUGUCCUGAUUGGGCACUGUAGCUGGGCGGGCGCCCAGGAGAGUUGGGCGGGCGCCCUGCCUCCGAGCCCGAUUUCCUUCCCGUUCGUUCCCGUGGCUUCUAGAGUCUUCUAGAUAAUAGACCCGACGUGUGGGCCUUUCUUCCGUAUUUCCUGAUAACCCCCUGUAGAAAUAGACAAACACCAAAACUUGUAGAAUUCUGUCAGAUAAAACCCUAAGUCUAGGUGUUGGUUGCAUUUAGAUCCUUUUCCAUGAUUAAUUGAUGGUUAAAUAUGAGCAUUAAGGACCGUCAACAAGCUCCCCCAAGCUUAACCUUUGCUCGUCCCUGAGCAAAGAUGAACUCAAGAGUUUCUGCAGUGGUUUCAUAACUUAAAGAUACACAUGCGUUUAAACAAGAUCUCAUCUCUGGUUAGAGUAAACUGUUAAGACUUAAAACUUACUCAUUUACCUUUCACCAUGGGACUUGUAACCGUCACUUCUGUCUUGAGUAGUUAAAAGAUAGAACAGUCUAGUCAAGCGCCAUGUCUCUUGUUCUUCGAUUAACUAUAGCUCUGGAGUUUUUGCAGAUUUUCAAAUAAAACUCAGAGAUUCCUUGUAUGACUCUCUCUAGUCUCUUUUUUGUGGUAUUUCUGGAUGCUUACCAAGGCAGUAAUGGUGUAUACCUUCUCUCAAAGUAUGUGGUAUUUUUGGUAUGAGGCAUAGUGACAUUGCCUUCUCUCUCACCCUACUCUAAUAAGGCUUUUGAUAUCUGGAGCUCAUAGGUGCGAGACAGCUAAUACAUACUUACAAGACAUUUAUUGCAUAGUCAAACCAUGGAUCCAGAAGAACAAGUCAAUAAGUCAAAUCAAGAUGUGCAUGUGUGGCGAAUGAAUGGUGUAUGGUGAUGAUGGUGAUAACGAUGGUGAAAGUCUAAUUCUACUUAUGCUCUUUUGAGGGGAUACAUACCUUUCUUGCUCUUUUGAAACUUUUUGAGGAGAAUGAGAUGCUCUAUAUUUUCUUUUUCUUUCCUCUCAGGUGGGUAUCUUGUACCCCUAAUUCUACUGUCGGACACUUGUCCAUUUUUACCUCUCGUCUCACUUUUUUCUUUCUUUCGAGGUUCCGGGCACUUGCCCCUUUUUAUUUCCUCGUAUUUUUUUUCUAUUUUUUUUAGAGCACUCAUCUCUUGAAAUAAUGUAGCAAGUGGUAGUAACCAAGAUAACUUGAGCAUUUAUUUCACAAGGGAAAAACAGAAAUGUUUUUGGCUAUUCUCUCCCGGAUUAGGAGUAGAAUAUUUUUGGGUGGUUCUAGAGAUGGAAAUGGAUGGAUAUAUGUGGAUGCGUACUUCCAGAGUAGAAGCAACAUGUGUGAGUGAACGUGCAAGUGAAUCUUGAUUUAACCACAUGAGAAGCUCCUAAGGGUCUACAUAGCUUGACCACACUCAAUGCUCAUAAGCAGUAAAAAGUAAAUGUGUGGCUCAUAGUCUAACAAGCAUGUAUGUAUGGCUGUGGUAGGAAUUUAAACUCUCAUCAUACAGGAACUCAUCAUGUGUUAUUUUAAAGAUUUUCAAAGAUGAAAUUCUCCAGAAUUCUAGCAUCUCUAGGAACAGAUAAACAGCAGCUCAACCUUCCCAUAUCGUAUCCGUUAACGACUUAGACUUUAGAUCAAGUACUCUCCCCACAAGUUCAGGUUUAGAGCAAAUCUUAAUUAAUAACAGUCAUGCCUAAACUUGAGAGAGAUUUCAAUUUUGAGAACUAGUCAUGGCAGAGCAACUAUUCAUCAUUUCCAUGUGAGAGCUUAUCAUGAGGGUUCAUAGCUAACUUUAUUUAUUUAUUUAUUUAGCAAACUAAGCAAAGAUAUCUAAGCACAAAAUCUUUAUUUGGGUUUUUAUGAUUAUGCAUCUUUUUAUUAUUUGAGUAAAGUAUAAAUGUGAGUAAAAUACUUAGCUAGAUAAAUGGGGGUGCUCUCCCCCAAGCUGGAUUUUGACGCAAUUUCUUCUAAUGUAGCUAGCAGGCGGCGGAGGUGUAUUUGAAUGUUGGCAGCACCCUGACAGUGAUUAGGAUGUCCUCCGUCUGCUAGUCUUCUUUGAUCCUUGAAUUCUGUGGAGCUCAAAUAGACAACAAAGCUUUGUGGAACUGGUUAAGUGUUAGCAUAAAUAUCUAGCCUUUAUCAUGUUGAGCCUCCUCAAUAAAUGUUACUCUCUUUAGUAGGAUCAUAAAUUUAUUUUUAUAAUUUUAUAUUUAUAGGACAGGAAUAUAUUUAUUUUAUUUUUAUGCCACCACAGUGAAUGUACUUAUGGGUUUUAUGUCAUGAGCAUACUCACAUGGGGCUUACUAUUUUUAACAUUUUUAUUUUCUUUCCAAGAUGAUAUGAACCUGAUUAACUAAGCAAACUAUUUUAAAUAAUUAAAAGGAAAAAGAUAACUACCAAGUUUACCUCUUGGCAAGGCGUUCGGUGUUUUUAAGUCCUCCGAACGGGACUCUCUGCUUUCUCAGUCGUCCUGGGAUUCGCUAGAUGGCGUAGUCAGUGGUUCCGGCGGUGCCUCCUCUUCAUGUAUAACUAUCUUCUCUCUGCACACCUGACUCGGUGCUACGGUCUCCUCAGGACAGUUCUGUUCAAGUUGUUUGUCUUCAGACCUUACCACUUCUCCUUCGUAGUCUGCCCAUCCAUCUUUGAUGAUUUGCCUCCUCUGGUUGCGGUUGCGUCGUCUUCUUCUUGUCCGGACCUGCUUAGAGUCUUCAACUAUAUAGUUAGGGUCAGUUAAAUAGCGGCGUACCUUCUCAGAGGGGAAGUUCAUGUGGAUUUCUCCGGUUCCAAUGUAGAUGAUUGCUUUAACGGUGCUGAGGAACGGUCUUCCAAGGAUGACGGGUGGAUUGUGCUCGUCUUCUCCCAUGUCAAUAACCUUCAAUCUUUCAGAAUGUCUGGAGCUGAAAGUAUGUUGGUUGUAGGAACAUGGUUCCAUGCAGGAGCUGAUAAGUGACUGCGGCCAUUAUGUUGACGUUAGAUCCGGUGUCGUAGAGUGUCUUCUGAAAAGAAUAUCCGUUGAUUGUGCACUCGAUGAUUGGAACACUAGGGUCGUCCUUCUUGAUCAAGAAAGGCGACUUGAGUUGACGAUCUUGACCUCCUUGAGCUGCAGUGACCAUCUUAGCUGACUCAGUCCACAUUUGCUUGUUCCUGUUCCCCCUGUUGAUCAUCUCCCUUGGUUUAUGUCAGGAAUGCUCUGAGAUUUGUGUAGUCUUGUUUUUGAAGGAAAACGUCUCCUUCCUCCCCUUGAUGUAGAAACUAAUCUUGGCAGCACUAGCGUAGAUGACAGCUCCCGAGGUGUUCAGGAAUGGCCUCCCUAGGAUGAUGGGUGCCCUCUCAUCAGUAUCAGUCUCUAUCACCACGAAGUCUGCUGGAGCGUAUAAGGUACAAACUCGGACGUAGAGGUUCUUCAAUAUUCCCUUUGGGAAACUUAGCGUAUGAUCUGCAAGCUGCAAACACAUGGCUGUCUCUAAUAAAGGAUGUGUAAAUAAUUUUUCAUAGAGUACCCUGGGCGUAAUGUUGACACUGGAGCCAAAGUCGCAGAGUGCUUCUAGGAAGUCCACCAUGCCGAUGGAGAUCGGGAUGACGGGGCGUCCUGGAUUGUCUCUCUUGACCGGCAGAAGGUCAGUAAUUACUUCCACAACGGGGUUACUCCAGUAGUUACGUCCUCAAGCAUCUCAGGGCAGUGAUUGCCUGAGUGUCCAGUGUCUCCAGUGUGUGUGUGCUCAUAGACCUAGGUUCUUCACUUUGGUGGAGUUUGGGAGUUGUAAAACUCCUUCAUAUUUUGCUCAAAGUGUACCUGCUCAUAGAGACAAGGCAGAGAUCAAGUGCAUGGGCCCUGUUGGUGGAAAACACCAACAGAACCAAAAGUGUAUUUGUUCUCCUCUAACCUCAAGCAUAGUGAGCAAGACAAAGUUGAUGGAUAAUAAGAUCAUGAGUGUAGCAUUUAAAACAUUUGUCAGAUAAGAUCGCUCAACCUAAUGGAAAGAUAAUCUAUAUAUACUUAUGUUUUUUAUAUAUAUCUUCCAAAGAUUGAGUGUGCAACCUUUUAGCUCAUAUGAUUAGGAGUGUGGGAUCACAAAGGUGGAAGGACUAAACAUGUUGAAUCGAUUGGGUUGGUUAAUCUAGAGUUGUAAAUCAUACAUGUUUGUCUCUUAUAUUCAUGUGAACGCCAGAACCAAGGAGAAGCUUAUAGAAGUGAUAGUCAAGUACCUUAAGAUGUUACCUUACUUGAAGAGUGAUGGUACAGUAUCACCUUGUGGAAGCUUUCCUCUCUUAGCGGUUGUGCAUCGUGUUUGUGGCACCCUCCAUGGAUCAUCUCUUGUGAGCUAUGCCUUCCUCGUGCAAAUUGUUAAACUUCAUGUGUCUUUCUCUUUGUCUCCAAUGUGAGUUUAUCUCAGGACUUCCCAGGUCGAUAUUGAAAGUUUUCCAGUAGGGGUUAGUCCAACAAAAUAUCCAAUAUCUACUAUAGCAUACUAUCGGCUCAUAGAUCAACCUAGACACCAUGUCUAAUUUGAUUUAGGAGGGAAUUUUAACCUAAGCAUCAUGCUUAAUUUAAAAUCCUUUGGAAGUAAGAUCAUCAUUCCUAAACUAAGCACCAUGCUUAAUUAAGAGAUAAAUGAAACUACUCCAAGCCUAGACAUAUACUAAAGCAAAUAAAGGUAGCAUGAGAGCAUUUAUAGAGAUCUACUCAAGUGAAGAUGAAGUAGUGUGAUUAGUAUUUAACAGAUUGAGCAUGUCUCAAAGGUAGGGACAACCAACGUAGCAACAUGGCAAAUGAUGUUUUUAUGUAAAGUACUCCCCCAAGCUUGAAUUUUGCAAAAUUCAAGUUUGGAUGAAUUUAAUUCAAUGUUGUAUGAUGAUUGGUUGGACAUACCUUGUGCUUGUCAUUCAUCCGAUCUUCUUGCUCUAAUCCUGAAAAGGUUAGUGACAAGAAUACCCGAAGGAAUUUUUUACAAUUAUCCUUAUAUGCUCAAUACACAAGGUAAUGUUGUAAAUAAUUAAGAGCUUAUGUUACAAUCUGAUCAGUGCUUGUUUUAGGACACUAAGCUUGUCCUUGGGAAACCAUUAAUUUAUGUCAGAGAAGUGGUUUCCCCUCCAACUCUGACCUAUAUCAAGAUCAACUCAACGAGAUUUGCAAUAUUUAUUAUAGACAUAUGCAUCGACAACCGCCCUUUUAAAGUUUUUAUAAAUAGAAAGGAUGAGAGGAUUCGAGAUCUCGAAUGUGGUGAUGUUGGAAAAACCAAUGGAUUGGGAAGAUGUUGCAUAUGAGCAUGGAGUAAAUGAAGUGGCUAUGAAAUAAAUUCCAUGUUCAUUAAUGCUUAGAGUGAAAUCCAUGUGGUAUGGUGAAAAUGAUAUGGUGAGUGCGGUAAAAAAGGAAAAUAAAAAGGAUACACGGACGACUUGGUUCGAAACUAGCACAGCUACCGUUCCCCGGCAACGGUGCCAGAAAGCUUGUUGGGUAUUUUAAACGCAAACAGAAAAAUCCGCAAGCGCACAGAUACCGAUGUAGCUUUCACCCGGGAGUAUUCCAGAGUAUCGAUUUUCCACAGAGAACGUGAGUGUACUAAUUAAGACCCAAGAUCGCCCAAGGAUAACUAUAUAAUUGUUUUUGGUGGGAAGAGAGGAAGUUUCCUGAGAGUUCUCUAGUUGAUCUAAGAAUCAAGAAUUACUUCAAGAUUAUCUAUUUCGGGACAUCAGAGCACUAACCACGGAAAGAGAUGAGAAGGGGGCUAGAAAGGUCUGACUACGGUCCUACAAACACCGAUCCGAACGUGGUGGAAUACGUCGACCGUUAGGGCUGUCACUACCCUAGGGCUACCACAACAAUCCGUAGGAUUGGGUGCAAUUCCAGGUAAUCACAAGACUAAACACCACGUCUAAUCUAUUAAUUACUACUCUAAUGUUUCAAAGACUAGAGCACUUGAUGCAAGCGGGAAUCCAAUAAAUAACUUGAAUGUAAAUAAAAGUAAUUAGAGAACUCAGGAGUUAUGAGUUGAAGAACCUGGAGAACGAUGAAGAACGAACCAGAUACUGCAAAAGUACAAUGUUGAGGAAGAUCCGACAGAUCCGGCUCCUCCUCCGCUCUCCUCUUCUCUCUCCCUAUUUCUAGAUUACAACUAGAACUAACUAGAACUAGAACUAGAGGAAAUAGAACUAGAACUAGAACUAGAUGAACUAGAACUAGAUCUAGAUGAACUAGAGGUAGAACAAGAAGAACUAGAGGGAUCCUCUCUACUUGGAUGAAGAAUUGAAACUCUAACUUUGAUUCUGUAGAAGAGGUAUUCUCUCUAGGGGCCAGGGGGCCUUGCUUAUAUAGUCUUUUCAGAUGAAUCUGGGCCGUCGGAUCAAACCGAUAUUGAUCGUGUGGUUUUCCUUGAAGUAUUAGGUCGGUGGAGCAUGAUCCGCGAAACGUGUCCUGAUUGGGCACUGUAGCUGGGCGGGCGCCCAGGAGAGUUGGGCGGGCGCCCUGCCUCCGAGCCCGAUUUCCUUCCCGUUUGUUCCCGUGGCUUCUGGAGUCUUCUAGAUAAUAGAAAAUUGCGCGACACGUUAAUAUCUCUAUGUAAACCCGACGUGUGGGCCUUUCUUCCGUAUUUCCUGAUAACCCCCUGCAGAAAUAGACAAACACCAAAACUUGUGGAAUUCUAUCAGAUAAAACCCUAAGUCUAGGUGUUGGUUGCAUUUGGAUCCUUUUCCAUGAUUAAUUGAUGGUUAAAUAUGAGCAUUAAGGACCGUCAACAGGCGGCUAUAUUAGGGUCGGAGUAAUUAACGGGUGCUUAGCGGACCCGUUUGUUUUCUCUCAACAUUAUGCGGAUUAUAUUUCUUUAGUAAAGCCUUAUGUACACUGCAGUGGGUAGACCAAACAAAAUUAAUGCAAAGAAUUAGUAAUAUAUCAUAUAAUCAAUAAAAUAGCAUGCUCAAAUGUUAAAUUUAACUAACUCAGGCAAUGUAGCACACUCAUCCGUAUUUGUUAGUAUGUAGUGCCUUAUUCUCAACAUCUCAGAGUCGUCCAACACCUCAGAACUAUAACCUUUCCUACUGUAGUCAAGGUCACCAAAAACGCUCAAACCAGAUGGUGGUUCAAGCACUGCGGCGCUUUCAUGGCGCUCUGGGCGACUUGGCAUAUCUUUGAAGAACUCAGAACAAAAUGUCAUGCACUCUUCUGUGAUAUAUCCUUCUGCUAUUGAGCCUUCAGGAUGUGCUUUGUUCCUCACAUAACCUUUUACCGUACACAGAUAUCUCUCCACAGGAUACAUCCAUCUAUAGCAUACAGGUCCACCAAGUGAAGCCUCUUCAGCUAGAUGAACUGGCAAAUGUACCAUGAUGUCAAAAAAAGCAGGUGGAAAUAUCAUCUCAAGCCGACAUAGAGUCUCCCUAAUCGAAGUACUCAUGUUAGCAAGCUCCUUUUCAUCUAGCUCCUUUGAACAAAGCAAACUAAAGAACCUACUCAAGUCAUUCAAUGGGACAACAACUUCUUCAGGCACAAUGUUGCAUAGUACUAAUGGUAAAAGUUUCUGGAAUAUAAUAUGAUAAUCAUGAGUUUUCAGACCAGACAACGGACACCGAUUUUGAUCCACACAUCUUCGAAUAUUGGACGCAUACCCAUCAGGCAACUUAACUUCAUGAAGAAAUUUGCAUAAAAGUUUCUUGUCAUCUUUUCCUAAUUUGUACAAAGCAGGUGGUAAGGUGAACUUACCAUUGUCACGCACUGGAUGUUGAUCCAUCCUUAUCCCGAGAUGUUGCAUGUCAAGCCGAGCUUCCUCAUUAUCCUUACUUUUACCUUCUAUGUUUAGCAAAGUGCCCAAUAUGGUCUCACAUAUAUUUUUCUCGAUAUGCAUCACAUCCAAGUUGUGCCUAAUAAGCAAAUUUUUCCAGUACGGAAGCUGAAAGAAAAUACUCUUCUUCCUCCAGUUGUGUCAUCUCUUUUCUUCAUCAUGCUGCUUCCUUUUUCUUGAUUCAGGACCGAAUUGGACUUGAUCAAAACUAUCAUAGUGUUGCAACACCUGUUCUCUAGUUAGUGGUUGUGGUGCCUCCCUAUUUUCUAUCUUGUUGUUGAAGCUGACCUUGUUUUUGUGCCACUUGUGGUCCAUAGGAAAAAACCGACGAUGCCCCAUAUAGCAAUGCUUCCCACCAUGUUUCAACCAUAAGUAUUCUGUUUCCACAUGGCAGUAUGGACAUGCAAACUUACCUUUCGUACUCCAUCCAGAAAGCAUUGCGUAUGCUGGAAAGUCAUUAAUUGUCCAUAGUAGAAUUGCAUGCAAAUCAAAAUUCUUCCUCUCCUUUGCAUCCCAGGUCACGAUACCCUCUUCCCAGAGAACAUUGAGCUCAUCAAUUAAAGGCUGCAAGUAUACAUCAAUGCUAAUGCCAGGAGACCUCGCUCCUGGUAUCAUCAUGGACAACAUCCAAUACGACUGUUUCAAACACAACCAUGGCGGAAGAUUGUAAGGAAUUAAAAUCACAGGCCAUCAACUGUAUGACACAUUCAACAUACCAAACGGAUUGAAUCCAUCAGAUGCUAGACCAAGCCUGACAUUGCGAGGAUCAUUUGAAAACCAUUCAUAGGUUGCAUCCACAUGCUUCCAUGCUUUGGAGUCCGCGGGAUGUCGCAUUUUUCCAUCAACCACCAAUUCAUCCUUAUGCCAACGCAUAUAUGAUGCUCUACUCUCUGACAUAUAUAUCUUUUGGAGCCGUGGAAUCAGUGGGAAGUACCGUAGGAUUUUACGUGGAACACGCUUGUCUGAGCCACAACUACUGCCAACAUCUUGUACCUUUUUAGACUGCCUCCACCUUGACUCAGCUCACCACAUUUUGGGCAAUUAUCCAGGCCCUCAUAUUCUUUCCCUCUAAAUAACACACAAUCAUUAUAGCAUGCAUCUAUCUUUUCAUAAUUUAAACCAAGAUCUCUAACAACCUUUUUGAUCUUCUCCAUACUAUCUGUCAGAUAGUGCCCUUUAGGAAGAAUUAACAAGAACAGCCCAAGCACGAACUCCAUGCAAGCAUUACUACAACCAAACAUGCACUUCAUCUGAAACAUUCUGACAAUGAAAGACACUUGGGUUGCUUCUGUGCAACCUGGAAACAACUCCUUCUUGGCCUCUUGCAACAAUUUAAAGAAUUUCUUUGCCUUCUCAUUUGGAUGUUCCUCGUCGAGUUCUCCACGUAUCUCUCCCCUGAUCAGUGAAUGUAACAUUUCUUGGGUACCAGCCAUAUCAUCAACAUCAUCAUCACCAUCAAUACCUGAACCUUCACAUAUACUUUCCUGCUCUCGGAUGAAGCUUUCAUCAAAACCUUUCCUAAGCAAAUGCUUCUGGACAUCUGACCGUUUUCUGAAUGACAUGGAACGGCAUGCUGAACAUGGACAUGGCGCCGUUCCUCCUUUCGAGUUGCCUCCAAAGGUGCUAUCAAGAAAAUCUGUUAAUCCUUGUUGCCACUCUGCAGAUGCCGUAUCCAGCCGCAUCCAACUACUACCCUCAUGUGACAUUGUUUCCAACACCUGGCAAACACACGCAAAGAUAAAUAAGUACAUGCUACGUAUUGCAAACAAAGUCAAAGUAAAUAGCAAUAUGAUUGAUCGAUUAUAACAACCUACUUCUAACAAUUAAUAUUUUUACCAUAAUAGAAAAUUCGGGCAGCACCUUAUUUAAAUACGCAGCAAGAACAAUAAUAUAAAAAACAAACGAAUGUAUGACAAAAUUAACAUGUACGUACCCUCUAGACUAUAUAUAAAUCUUAUAAUAUAUAUAUGUACUAAUUUAUCUUGCAAAGCAAAAACAAAUCAAGUAAACAUAUUUUCAAUUCAAUUAACAUAUUUCAUAAUUAUCGAGGAUCACUCUAAGAUUCUGACAACUAAAUUAGAAGAAAAAUAUGACUACAUGAGUACUGAUGAGUACUACCAGUCCGAAAUAAUUAAUUUAGUUAAAAACAAUUCAAUGAAAAAAAUACCUACAAGUCAGGACAGAUCGGCUAAUCACCUGGUGACUAUUGACGAACUGAUAGAUGAUUUGAUGCAGAAAUCGGCACAGGGCCGGGGCCUGCUCGAUCACCGCGACAACCUAAGCUUGAUCGGCACAAGGAGCAAGGACGCAGCAGGAGAUGCACCUCCUAGUUAGGGUCAGCAGGAGGAUGCGGCGUCGUCUGGUGCAGAUCAUCAACAGAAGCUGCGCCUCCUUGGUCAGCGGCAGGAUGUCAUGUUGACACAGAUUAGCAGUAGAAGAUGCGCCACCUACGGCCAGCGGGAGUAUGCGGCGUUGCUUCACCUCCUAGGGCCAGCGGGACGAUGCGCGGCGUCGCCUGCCGGUCCCCUCGCCCACGUACGUCGGACCGAAAACAAAAAGAACGAGAAAACAGAUCUUACGUAAAUACAUAUGGAGUCCAAACAUGAUUCGAUAGCAGUAUAAAAGAUUUUAUAUACUAGUCCAUGCAUAUACAAAUAACUAGCCUGGUGGUUAUGCAUGAUGUGAACAAACCCUAGGGCAUAGGUUCAACUCCUCUUACAUGUGCUAUUUUUUUAAUUAACAAUUCACUUUUUAUUUAACCUUACAUCAAACACAAAUCUGUUGCAACAGUACUUCCUAAUUGCAUCCAUAACCAACAUAAUGCAUCGACAAAUCAGUCCUAACGCAACCAACGGUGUCCGAUGCAAUAAUGUCUACUAUUGCAUCCCUUGUUUGAAAUGAUGCGAUAGAUCAUAGCUAUUGCAUCGACACGAAUUAUUAUGGCAUCCAUCUAAUUUUUGAUGCAAUAAGAACGACCUAUUGCAUCAAAUUUCUAAAAUUGAUGCAAUAGCGUCCACCUCUUGCAUUAGAUUUGUAUUUGAUGUAAGAGGCCUUGAUGCAAUAGGUAAAAAUUUAGUAGUGCUGUAUGUGUAAGUCCAGUAAGUGAUAUGGAAUAUGCUGCUGAAAUUUUCACAAAACGAGCCAGACUCACAGAAUUCGAACCAAGGGAAAUGGUAACAUUUGACCUUCCUAGAAGUAGUAUUUGUGAAGUUGACUAUACAGUAAUCAAGUCGAUGUCGAGGUUUUACAUGCUAUUGCGUUACUUAAGAGAGCGCAACCAUUUUGACCUCAAUACCACGACAAAUAAUUACGAGGAUUGCCCACAUUUCUGCAACUGUGAGGAGGAACCAAGGAGGUGUUUUGCCAAGACACCAUGGCAACUGGGAGAUGAUUGGCAUGUAUUCGCUCUAAUAAAUAAAGGGGGUGUUAGUGUCAUUGACGCAUCAUCGUCAACGAUGUGAGAAUGAAGUACAUAGCAUAAGUGCAUUGCGUUUUAUAUAAUUUCGGGUUGUUAAUUUACUAAAAUUAGUUUGUCUUAUUGUGAAGGAUGCAAAUUGUAGACUACUACCCUAAAUAUAUCGAGGUCAUGCCAAAAUCAGCACAUGACCAACGGAUCGGGGUAUGUGAGAUGGAGAUGGACAUGUUUGAUGCUAUACUAAGAUGUUUUAAACAUAGUGACGAUAGGUUGUAUGCUGGAGAAGGAAAUUUGGGGUGGCGUCACUUCUUUGAGACAGACGUUUUGGUAAACUUUUCAUACACCUCAAAUAUUUAUAAAACAUUGUCUGUGGUUAUAGAAAAACAUUAAUUUAUUGCAGCGAAUCCUGAAGGUUGGUACAAGUAGCAUAUGGGUUGGGAAAUAAAUCACUGUCAUUCAUAAUUUUAUGCUGACAGGGUUCAGUUCUUGCGGGGUGGUUUGACAUCAAGAUCCAGGAGUGCGAAACCAGUUCAUAGGUUCGAACAUUACAUAUGGCCUCUACAACUGCACCAUGGUAUGUUAUCGGCUAUUAUAUAUAAAUUAUGUAAAUCAAGAUCAUGGCUUACAAUUAACAACUUUGUAUACAUGACCUGAUAUGUUGUUCCUACAGCCUUUCUUCCUAGUGAUUUUGCAGCAGCGGUGGGUUUGUUUCGCCUGGAACCUCGAUUGCAACAAAAUUGUAGUUUUUGACCCAGCUUGCGAUAAUAGAACAGUAUUAUCAAGACAGAGUAUAUACACGAAGGUAGUAGAUAUGUUAAAAAGCACUCUUACAUGUGUGAUGCCAAUUUUAUACCGGGGAUGGGAUCAUGAUUGGAGUGCAGCCAACAUACUUCAUUUCCCUUGGCGCACAAGAGGAAUGAUAUGGUAAGCUUCUGACACAUCUUCACUUGGUAUAUUUACAAAUAAAUAAAUGAAUUCAUAUAAAUAACAAACUAAAACCAUAGCUAUGAGUAUUGGAAGGUUUAAGGUUAAUGCUUUUUUAUAUAUUGUGACAGUUCAAACCAGACUGGUGUCCUUUGUGCAUACUUCUGCCGAUGUUAUGAUGGGCAACGCCUAAUACAAGAUUUGGAAGAAGUAUUACUUAUCUCUAAAAUGAUCUUGCACUGCUUCAUGAAUGUUUAACCUUUUUGCUUGAACCUUGUAAUUUAUAUUUGUAAAAAAACACAUUGCAGGGGCAAGUGGAUCAGAUCGCAACAGCUUCGUUUGCGGAAGCUAGUGGACUAGUAAAGGCAACAUGAAGAUCUAGAUGUACACAAACGUUGGAAGCGGUAGUGGUGGCUAUAAAGAAGGGCACGAACAUCCUAGUGUUGUCGAAUGAAUGUAAACAAUUUGGCUCAUGAUUCAUCUGGCAAGAUCAAUCAGGAGUUUUUGGAUAUUUUAGAAAAUUUAGACAAAGUUGGUUAUUUAACAGUUAUAUUGUAAUCACUCUACGCUCAUUCUGAGCUGAUCUAUGGCAAGCAGUCACCUACAAAAAGAAAGAGAGGAACAACUGAUUAUGUAUAUCUUGUGCCACUCUUCAUCCUAUGGUUAGUCAAACAAUACAAUGUUAUUACAAUCUACAUGCAUGGUUCUAAUAAUGGUAUGUAGCUGAGUGCCAGUCCUUAAUUCAGAAAAGUAAUGACAUGUUCUGCUUUCAAGCAGAAGACGUAAUAAUGUAUUGAUAUGAGACACCUAAUAAAGCUAGACUGAGAUAGUUAUUACAGCCUGAGAAGACUGAGAUACAACACAAAAGCAGCAGUCCAUUACCUGCUCACAUAACCGAUCAUGGCAAUCUGAAACAACCAGCUUCAAUGAGUGCAAAUCACAGCUGUGUUGAUAUAAUGCAAUCUAUGGUACGGGGAUUUGUAAUAUUAGGACAAUACUGCUGUCGUUCCACGAAAAUUGGUGAAGGUGUGCACCACAAAGAGGAUGUACGGUAUACAAUUAAAUUGAAAGAAUGACCACCAGGUAAUUCAGGAUUCUGAUUCAAACAACAGUUGGUUCAUUCCAAACAAUAUAUAUAUAUAUAUAUAUAUCGCAUUUAUUUUACACGCGCGUGUAGUUACUCUCAUCUAUAUAUCUCUAGAUUUAAGGUGUAUAUGACCGAACGAAAUGUAUAUAGACAAAGUAUAUGAUCAUACUAGACCAUCUAGAGUGAUAUGUAUGUUAAGUAUGCAUGCAUACAUAGAGUAUAUGGUUAUACUUAUUAUAUAUAAUAUAUUAGUGGCAUUUUAGUAAUAUAUUUAAAAUAUAAUUUUUUUAAAAAAAAAAUUCGUGUGGUAAGAUCUAUAGUAUCUUAAUAUGAGUAUAUAAACAUACUCAAACCGAUAAACAAGUAUGAAUACAUACAAAAUGUAGUUUAUUAAAGAUGAGAGUAACUACACGUACGUGUACAAAGGAAUUUUCUAUAUAUAUAUAUAUAUAUAUAUAUGGGUAGGUUCAUUUUUAUGCAAGGAGGGGAUUUAGGGGGGGUGAUUGUUCGCAAUUUGUCAUAUACAAAUAUAGAAAUAAUAAGUAUUCCGAACUUGUUUUAGUUCAUGACAAAAGCUAAUGCCGCUACCAUUACAAACUCCAAGUGCGAGAUAAUGGCCAAAAGCUGAAGCGACUGCCAAUCAGAGCAUCACACUAAGGUUGCUGCUAUUCAAGAUCAAUGUCGUGCAGGCUUGUUUGGUUUUGCUGACGCCUAAGGAGGAGAGAACAAACGGACCACUUGAAUGUAACAUCAAGACGCUGCAGCAAGAAAAACACAUAAUUUUAAGUAAUAUUAAUGAUUUAUUCUGAAGUAUGACAAAUAUGUGGUGAGGUGUAUCUCAGUAUAGCUUCUAACUCACACACCUUCCUCGGGGGUCCACGAUAAGAUAAUGUAGAAAUUUCCUUUGACAAAUCUCGAACCAUACAAUCCCCGUCAAAAAGGAAGGCAAACAUUGAAACAAGGAUAGCUUGGUGGUCCGUCGAACUGAAGAGCAGAGAUUAAAAAAACAAUUUAAAAAUGUAAUUAAAAAUCAUGUAACAGAAAGCAAUAUGCUAGUUGAUGUUAACAUAUGAAUUCCAAAACAUGAAGAACAAGUUUUGUCUUUCAUUUGACAUGUACUUUGUUUUGAAUGAAAUCAGGACUGCUGAUGUUGAUUGUGUUGUUAUACAUGUGUAAGCAUUAUGUGCGCUAAUAACCUUAGUUUUUGAGAAAUAUGGGCUACUAUGAUAUACUGGAAUCGGAAGUAUAUAUUGGUCAGCUGCUGUGCGUAUGUUGUCAAGUGUGAGCUGCAGAAAAAGCAGGUUCUGGGUGCGGAGAUUUCACACUACACAUGUCUGAAAACUGACAGUGAUAGAAUAAGAAUCAUUCUCAGCUCAUAUUGUCUGAUUUCAGAAACUGAGUCAAUAGUAAACAUAUAAAAGUGGCAGAAACAACAUAAUAAACCUGUACAUUUCAAUGGGACUAUGCACAUACAAAAUAUAUUUUUGGAAGUCAGUAUCGCAUGAGAUUGUGAUUGGACCUUUGCAUUUUCUCAACCCAGAGACCUGAUCAUAUAACUCUGUAACUAAACCCUAUCUAAUCUGCUCACUUAAUCACCAUCAUUAAAUAAUUUAGCUAACACAGGGCAACUUGUAACAAAAAUAUAAUUCGAACCAAGAGAAACAGUAACAUUACAACUAUCAAAUUUUACUGACCUCAGAUCUAGUGAGCCACCCCAUUGAAAGAUCUGAAAUGACCACUUAUCCACAGUUGGGAAAGCAAAAGAUGAUGACGAGCCCAACAGCGAAAGCAUGGUCCUCAGGAACCUGUCUGAUGCCUUCCUAAGUUGCGUCUCAACAAUGUAGCUUGGGGAAUGUAUAGAGUGUGGCUGAAAUGCGUAAUCUUAAAUUCCCUCAUGUUUACAGCAAAACACGUCCAAGAACCUCCCACUUUUGUAGGUGCAAAGCACUGCAUUUAAUAAUGUAUAUUACGUAAGCUAAUAACAAAAAUAAUUAUCGGUUGUAAUUACUAUUAUUUCUAAUAAUGGUUUAGAGAGACAUCAAAGUACAAUGUGAGAAUGCAAUAAAAUUAUUACACAAAAGAAAAAACUAACCAAUUCACAUUGAGCAGGAUCAAAGCAGAGAUAUGGUGAUCGAAAUAGAGGAUAGAAUUCGCGAGGCUUGAUUAUAGUUUCAGCAGACAUACAUGCAGCCUUCAGUUAAUGUAAUGUGUAUUACACAGCACCAAACAUGUUGCAAAAAACUCGAUUAGAUCUUUAAUUUAAUGAUAACAAUGUACAAUAGCAGUGAAGGAUGCCCACGGUGAACCUUGGAUCAACAAAAAAUCUCCACCGUGAGCCUUGAUAAUUCAGGUACAGAUGAUCAUCAAGUUCUUUGAACAAUGCUAUUAUAACAGCCAUCAUCUUGGUGGAGUACGAUACACCUUGCACAAAAUGUUUGAUGAUUUCUUCCCCUCUUAUUUCAAUGGUAACUGGAGAAUCAAACCGAACCCAUACCCUGUUGAAACAGAUUUAGAUGGAAAUAUAUUAGAUAUUGACGAUUUAUUAGGCAUAGUACGCACUAGAUUAAAGUGAUAAAUAGCUAUUCUUAUCUGCUCUGCUUAUUUCUUUUGUUCCUAGAGUCGUCAUCAGCAGUAUGGCCUGUGUGUCGGUGGGGAAAAGUGACAUACUCAUGAGAUCAAAUGGUUUCUUAACUCGUUUUUGUUUCUUGCCGUCAAUGCGUGUGUUGCCAUCAGUAUUGUCAAUUCGAUUAGUAGUGAAAAUUUCGUGAGUUCUCAAUCCUAUGAAGCAUACAUGUAAAUUGUGUUGUCAAAACUGAACAAAAUACAAAACACAGACACAUAGAUUACACCAAAUAUUGCUAUGGAGAUACAUCUGGGUAAUUAUACUUACUUUUACUGCUCACAGGUCCCUCUACGAAAUCGAUCACAUCAACAAGCAUGUUCAACCCAGGAGUUCCUAAGACAGUAUAAUAUGGAUAAUGCUAAACAAGGAUGUAGAUAUAAAAUAUAAUUUAGUCUUACAAACAAAUAAAAGUAGAGACCUUGCUGAGAUUUGGCUCGCCCGCAAUAAUGCUCUCCUUGUUGGGAUCCAGAUUUAUCAUUAAACAGGAGGACCAACAUAUGACUUCAUCGUUUCAGGUGUGUGAGUAGAUGAUGGUGAGGUGAAACAAUCUACACAAGCAAUCCAAAAUAUGAAAAUGGAAGCUUGCAAUUUAUAAAUGAGUAAACUAAUUAGAAUGCAAUGAUUACUUAUACAGAAAUAAGUAAUCGAUCUUUUCUGCAGUACUAGUGUAUUUAACUAGUGAAAUCUAAAUUUGAACUGUAGUAAAAUUGGUUGAAUCAACUAAAUAUGGUUAAUAUAAACAACAAAAGUUAUAUCUCUCCUAUCGGUGAGUUGUUUACUGAGUCUGAAAAGAAUAUCAGAACUAAACAAUAAUUAUUGAUUUAUGUUGGGCUUGCAGUGGUGUAGUAUAUAUUCUAGGUUAAUAGUUACUUGAUGUAAUUAUUAUAUUAGAAGGUAUUUAAAUCCAUAUAAAUUUGUAUAUUAGAAUAAUAAACUUCAAAGUUACUGAUCAUUAUAUAAAUUUGAGGAGACAUUUAUUCAUUUAAUUCAUUUUUGUUACAUUUAAAAUUGCUGAGAGUGCAGGUCAAAUUACAAACCAUUAAUUGAAGCAAACUUCCCUAAAAGUUUGUUGCGGUCAAUUGGAGCUGCGAUAUUUGUCUUAGCUCAUUAGAUAUACUUAUGAAUACUUCUAUAUUUCCCAGAGCUGUCAUGCUUGUGCGAGGAAAAGGAUGGUUGAUAAGGUUGAAAUUUGGAUGCAACAACAAUGUUUUUCUUUGACAUGCUUCCGGAUAUUGGGCAGGAUGUAUCUGAAAAACACAUCACUCAAAAUAUCAUUGAUAUGGAAGUGAACAUAAAUUAAUCAUCUGCAGUAAUAUAGAACGUUAGUGGAAAAAAGAAUAUAACAAGGCGUUUAGGGGUUUCAAACUACCAGCGCGCUUGGGGUUAAUUGCACCUUGUGUGGUGUGGAGAGCAAUUGAGGGAGGGAUCUCUCGAGUUGUCUCUCCAUCAACCAGUCCUUCCGUAACUGUGUUACUUGAGAUUCAAGUGCAGUAUAUAGAAGCUUUUGAUUGCCCUGUUUAUAAGAUUCAAAUGAAUGUUGGCAUGAUGUAAUGCAGCUAAUUAAUCUGUAACAAUGAAUUUUAAUAAAAGAGUGUCUCAAUUUGUAUGAAAUUUAAUUCAUUUGGAUUAGUUAAUACAUGAUUUCAUAAUAAACCUUAAUAUUUGAUAUAAGCAUAUGGCUAGAUGUAGCUAUUUGUGUUCGUAUAAAGUAUAAUGCAAAAGUACAUAUCUAUUGAGCAUAAAGGGAACAUACUGAAAUGGAACGAGGACUGUCUCCAGUCAGCUUGGACUGCAUCCACAUAACCUCCUUCAUUACUAACCGCAAGAUCUCACGAAAUGGUUUCUCCACAAUAUUAUGCAUCUCAGAUUCCUAACACAUUACAGACAAAAAACUUCAAACUCCAGAGUUUGUAAACAAUUAUGUGACCAACACUUCAUGAUACUAAAUUCAUAGAAAUUGAUUAAAAAUUACUCACACCGACAGACAGCGGCACCAUCCUCACAACUGAAGUAGAAAGAGGAGUGUUGCAUAUACUCUGCUUCUGCCUGGGCUGCUGCUUCAUUAGAUAAAAUUCAAAUGUGAAUAUAGAAGCACACAAAAAAUAAAAAUAAAAACAUAGCGACUUCAUUUGUUGUCUUCACAGAGUGUGGUGUAAAUCAAACUGACUCACCGAAGAUCUUGUUAAGAUACUACUACGGCGUGCUGCUCUAUGUUCUGCGUCAUUAGCUAUUUUAUUUAUAGUCGAUAUAAGUGCAUUGCAGUCGAGCUGUGUUCAGAAAUUAAUUGUGUUAGCAGUCAUACAAGGAUUAUCAACAAAGCAGUCGAGCUGUGUUAAUACACUCAUUGCGAUAGAUGUCAUAUAAUGGCGUGGGGAAAAUGAUGGUUUUAUUUUAAGAAUUGAGUGUGCUUUAAAAUUAUCACUUAGAGCAAUUAAGAAUCUUGUCUAUAGAAAAAUUGCCCUGCACAAGCACAACCGAUCAGUAGCACAUAAUGGAUGGUUACGUCUACUGACAAGAACUGCAACGGUAUGCAUAACCAGAGGAGGAGGUGAAGACAUCUACUGCUACUACUGCAUCUACUCAAUUGAGACUUGCAAGUCAAAAUACAUCUACUGCUACUACUGCAUAUUGUUGAAAAGCAGAUGGAUGGAUACAUCUACUGACAAACAAUGCAACGGUAUGCACAACCAGAGGAGGCAGUGCAAAAACAUCUACUGCUACUACUGCAUCUACUUACUUGAGACUUGCAAGUCAAAAUAUUCCAACUAGGUGAUUUCUUCUUCCUUUCAUCGUCAGAUUUCUCGAGUGCCUUCAGUUCUUUGGUUGUAAAAUAAGCAAUCAGGGGCUUCCCAGAUUCAUGUACAGAAAAUGUGACACCAAUGCACCGAGUGUAAAAGAAUAGCUGAGACAAAAUAGAAAAUAGUGAGGCUUACAACAAGUUAGUGCAGAUGGAAAACAAAAGCCAAUGGGCUAGUUAUACAAAUGUGAGAUUAAUUACCAUCAAUGCUAAUGAUUAAACAGAUAAUGCGUUUUGUCAGAAUUACUUGGACAAACUAAUUUGUUGUGAUUUUAUAUCUAUCUUAAUUACAUACUAACCAACAUAUUAACUAUCAAACCAUCUAACCGAGAUAGAUUGCCAAUUGGUAGUUGCAAAUCACAAUCAAUCGUAUUCAUAAACAUUUAUACAAUUCUAAAUCAUUUCAGAACUUGUCAACUUGCCAGAAGAAAGUGGGUGCAGCCAGCCAGGUUGAUCUUGCCACCGGACAACCACUAUGAAGCUGACCACGCACUUUGGCAGCGGUUUGUGACAGCUUCGCAAGUACAUAGCCUUGCCAAUCAUAAGAAUCGAUCAUAUAUUUUCCACUUAUUGUCAACAACACAGAUUCUUCCACCUCUGUGGUAUUACGAUCUGAUGGGUCCAGGAAGGUGCCAACUGUAUAUAUCAUGAUUGCAGCUAAGAAGGCGCUUUUCUGCUCUGGUGUCAUCUGGUCCUUAAUAACGUCCUGAGCUUUUUUUAAGUUAGAAUUGAGGCUGAUUGGCCCAAAUAUGAUUUCUGACUUUCUCAUGGAGCGGGAAGAUCCCACACCAAGAAAAUUAGAUCCCUUCACAGAGUUCCCACUGCCAGGGAUUCCAAGUAUUUCCUUGAGGUCGGCCUUGGAAACCUGAUGGUAUCCAUGGCCAUGGAACACCAGACGACCUUGGCGAUAACUCAGAUGAGCCAAGAGCCAGAUAGCAAAGUUGCGGUCGGUUCUUUAUGUCACCGGGUAAUGGAGAGCAAAUGAAAAUCCAGCACCUCGGAUUAGCUCUUUUUGUUCAUUGGUGAAGAUGUCCCUGACCUCAACGAGGAAGUUGGUGGAUAGGUUGGAAUUGAUUCUAAGCUGGCUGAUUGGUGCUGUUAAAAGCCGGGGAUUAGAAGAGGCGCAUCUAGCAUUCUUGCGGGUAGAUGAUGUGAAAUCAGAGUCGCCUUGCGAAUCUGAUGAGAUGGAGACGGGAGCGACUGCAGGGGGGUGGUUGUUGCGCCAUGGUAUGCAAUGGCGGAUUUGGGGGGAAGCUUGAGGAGACAGGGACAAAAUGGAUCUAGUUCGAGCGGAGAAUACAGAAGCUACGUCAUGGAUGGGACUGAGAUUGGUUCCGGAUGAGAGCAAGUAGGAGCUAGUAGCCUACUUGUAGAGCCUUUGAGUGUAUCAUUCCUGCAGGUGGGUACAGUGGUUUCUAGAUUCCUACCUUCGACUCAAAUGAACAGUAGAUACUGCACGGUCGGUCAUCACGGGCUCCACUGUAUGAGCGAUCCGUCGCAAUGCUUGUCAGCAAGAAGCAUACAUGUUGCACGCUACAAGGCGUACAUAUGAGCGUGGCAUCGAACUCCUAUGAACUGGGUUGAACAGUAGGGGACCAGCGGUCCGACUUCAACGACCAAACGAACAAACCAACAAGACGACACUGCCUCGAAGGUGCUUGCCUGCGACUGAAUCAUACAUGUUGUCCGUUUAGGGCUGUACAUGUGUGCAAGUCUGGUUUCGAGAGCGGUGGGAAAGGUGGAAAAUAGACUGAAAAAACCCUACAGAGCGCUAGCCUAGGCAAUUCUUUUCAUUUUUUGAAUGCUAGCGGCGGGGACCAGAUUAGACAAUACAGCGGCAAAACCAAAUCAACGUGCAAUUGCUGCUUACACGGUCUGGUGAGAGCAGACUCUGGCCUGAUAGUACAAAUAUACAUAGGCCUUGUUUAGAUACAUCCAAAAACCCAAAACUUUACAAGAUUCUCCAUCACAUCGAAUUUUACGGCACAUACAUGGAACAUUAAAUGUAAAUAAAAAAGAUAACUAAUUGCACAGUUUACUUGUAAAUCACGAGAUGAAUCUUUUAAGCCUAGUUACUCCAUGAUUGAAUAAUGUUUAUCAAAUAAAAACGAAAGUGCUACAGUGUCAAAAUCCACAAAGUUUUUGGAUCUAAACAAGGCCAUAAUCUUUUAAUAUAUUGCUCCUACCAUUGAAUUUAUGAAUUAAAAUGGCUAAAUCUAUACUCCCUCCGUCCCAAAAAGAGUGUCAUUUUAGGUUUUUGUUUCAUAAGUUUGACUCCUUUUGUAAAAAAAUAUAUGUAAUAUUUGUAUCUCUAAAUAAAUUUAUUAAAAAUCUAGAUUUAAAGGUCUUUCCAAUGAUAGUAAUUAUAUACUUAUAAAUAUUAAUAAUUUUUCUAUAUAUUUAGUUAAAGUUAUUUCUCAAGACGCGCAAACGAGACUUAUUUUGAGACUGAGGGAGUAGAUCAUAGCUCAAAAUUGGAGGCUUAUUUGUCCUUUGAGUAGCAUUCUAUCGUUUUAUAAAAUCGUCAGUAACUAUGCAUUUCCUAUAAUUGACCAUCUAAAAGAAUAUAUGAAUAAAUAUGUUUUUAAUAUAAGUUGAAUAAAAUAUGUAAAUAUCGCAUUUCAUUACUUAACUUUGAAAUAAUGUAUUUGGUUGAAAUAUAAAACUAUGCUUCAUUAUAUAGUAUGAUCACUGCAUUCGCAAAACAGUGAGACGACAUUAAUUUUGAAAGAAACCGGACCAAGUAACACUCCCCUGGAAUAUUACAAUGACUCACUGCAUUUAUUAAGAAGUUUACAUAGUUGGAACCGGAUCCAAGUAAAUGAGCAUACGCCAAGGGAUUAAAAUGUAUUUUAUAAGGGCACUUCCAAUGUUAGAAACUAUAUAUAGUUUCUAUAUAUAUAUUUUCUAUAGACACUAUAUAUAUAUAGAAACUAUGGUUACAAAACAAUGGAUAGUUUCUAUACAAUAAAUUUUUAUCCUAUCACAUUCAUUCUCUCUCAAUUCUAAACCAAUCAUAUCACUUCAUGUUUUGGAUUUCGUGUAGGUAUGGUUUCUAACUUAGACCCAUUUUCUAUGAUUUUUGUACUCUCUAUUCAAUAACUACCUUGUCACAUCAGCAAAAUGCUUAGAUGGCACCAUAUUUAAUGUCUAUAGAAACUAUGGUGGUUUCUGCAUUGGGAGUGCCCUAAAAUAAGUUGUCUCAUACUUGUCUCAAAAACACUAUCUCUUUCCUAGUCUUUUUCAGAACACUUGCUAUUUGAACAUGCCACUACUACUGCAUCCGUGUCUGCCUAAGCGCUAGAUGAGAGCCAAUCUAUCAUCCCUAUCCUCUUUACCAACAAUUGCUUGACUAUAUACUUGCUAUAACAAAAGAGGCUUCGGUGCCAAGCAUCUUUUAAUGAGGAUGAGCUAAACCCAAAGGACACUCCCCUAGUAUAACAUUUAGUAGACCAUCCGUACCGGUAAAUGUUUAUUACCACUAUAGUGGAGUAUCUUGCGAAAAUACAUAUAUAUAUAUAUAUAGAUGGUAGCGCUAUUCUACACUUUUGGUGUAGAAUAUUAUUCUACACCGCAAGUCAAAACUGAGCAGAAAAAAUACUGAGCAACGUUCAGUAUCAUCCAGUCGUACGCUCAGGACUACGAAAUACUGAACAAUACUGAAAUACGGGUACUGAACAAUACUGAAUUUUGUUCAAUAUAACACUUUGGUGUAGAAUAGUAUUCUACACCUAGGGUGUAGAAUAGCACUUGUAUAUAUAUAGAUAUAUUAGUACAUCUAUUUGAGAUACUAUUUUUAUAAAACCACUCUAUAAAUUAUAUAUUGAAAAAUAUAUCAAUUUAUCUAUAGGGAAAUUGAGCAGGAAUUACAUAUUACUAAGAGUAACUCCAGUCCACCUCCUAAACAAGUCCUUAUUCUAAAUCUAGGGACUUGAUCUAAAAAAAUAAACUCCAACCCACCUCCUACUUGGGCUCCCAUUUUCUAUGCCCUCCUAAAUUAUAGUUACAGCCCCUCACAUCCAGAACCCCCUAUCCAGUGGGUCCCAUCCACCUCCGUCUCCCCACCCAUAAAUCAAGACAAGAAUUACAAAUGGUGUAGUUGAUGUAGGAUUUGACAAUAACAGUGGGUCGAGAUAAGGACUUGGUCUGUUUUUUCCAGAGUUAGGUCUUAAUUUGAGCUCCUAUUUUUUUAUCAUAGCCUGUAAAAAUAAGUUUAAGAGCUUAAUUUAGGGACUUGGUAUGGAGUUGCUCUAACACUUUUAAGUGAUUCUCUAAACAACUCAAUGUCUAUGCUAAUUUAUGAGAAGUGUUUGAAUUUGUAGACUGCACCCGACAUGUGGCGAGAGAUGGAGUUCCAGACUUGGAGUCAAUGAAGGAUUUGCAUACAAAAGAGGGAACAUGUUUCGGCGGCUACAGUUCAUGGUUUACUACGUACAAAGGACAGCACGACCGGCAGACCCACCUGACACUAGUCACGUCCUGACUUUGAUUCCCAAUGACAAAUAUACACAUGUCAAAAACGACCCCAGCAAAAUGAUGCAAAAAUCUGGCAGUGCAGAAUUGUAAUUUACAAAAAAACUAUCAAUUUAAAACAGUUGUACGUUUGUUUUUUUACUGUUAUUUUCAAGCUUGCACUGAUUAAUCUAAAAACAGAUUCAUCACGAAAAAUUCAUACUUUUUUUGGAUGGUUUAUCAAUUCCUAUUUAUAAUUUUACCUAUAACUAACUUUUGCACAAAUAGCUACUACACUAUAAUAGCACUCACAAUACAAAACUCUAUAAAAGAUUAAUUACAUAUUAUUUAUGAUAUUUUGAUGGUGUGGCGGCAUAUUUAUUUAAGAAAAAAAGAAAUAUAAAAAGUAAUACUCCAAGUAUUAUUUAGACUCAAAUUUUAUCUAUAAGUGGGUCAAUAAGUAACUUUAAACUAUAUGAUAGAGUCUGCAUUAUGAAUGCCCUUAAGAGCAAAAGGGAAAAACUUGCUCAGCGCAUAUAGAUAAGUUAACUUUGAAAUCCGAUCCAUACAGGUCGUAAAGGAACCGACUUAAAUCUUGCAGUACAAGCGCUACAGUGCUUCUAGCGACAUAUAUAAGAAAGGCCAGAUUGGUAGCGGGAAAGGGGUCAAACGCGAUACAGCCUCGUGCAGAAUAGAAUAGAGAACUCAGCAACAACUACGAGUUUGGCCACAUCGCUGCUGAGAGUACGAAGUAACUAGGAACAAGCCAUGGCAGCUGAAGGGAGAGGGGGGGGGGGGGGGGGGGGGGAAGGGGAGCGCGAAAAAGAGGCAUUACGACGUGACAUCGCAGCUGGUGAACUUGAGACGCCAAGUUCCCCGGCGCAUCCUUGCAGACCUGAACGAAAAAUUGUCCAUGGACGAGGCAAGUCAACAAACCUUCUACUUACUACUAGGUGAAAUGCCCGUGCGUUGCAACGGGACAAUGAUCUUUUUUACACGUACAUUUCAUAUUAACAAAAUAUGACCCAACAUUUUAUAUUAACGGUUUUCAAGAUACAUCAUACAUUCCAAAUUCAAAUCAUGUAUCAAGAGCAUGAAAAAGCAAUCGUUCCCUUCUCUUCUCAUCUAUGAGAAAGUGUUACCGAUUCCAAAAAUAGUAGCUCACACAAAAGUUUUCAAUUAGGGACAUUUGUUGUUGAAAAAUCUCAGUCUAGGAAAGACUACGUACCAAAGAAUAGUUGCUUCACAAUAGGAUUCUGAAAUUACAACAGGAUUCGGAAAUCAACCAGAACCCUCUCAUAUGGCUAAAAAUGCAUGUAGUCAAGAGAAAACUAAUUACCUAAUUGAUUACAAAAUCAAGCAGCAAAAGGAGAUUAAAUAGAAAACUGUUGUUCAUCUGUUUAAGGGUAAACAUCACCAAAUGUUGAAACUUGUGUGUUUGACAGUCCACUCCAUCCAGGCACCUGUGAAGAAGAUACCCACGACAUUACAAAGAACAAAAAUUUAUGUUCUGCGGCUCUAGAAGGGAAUACUGAGAAACAUCAAACCUAGAAACCAAGCAUGCGUAUUGGGUCAGCGAAUAAGUUUUUCAUAUGGAUUGCUAAGGGCGACAGUGAUUUUUUUCGAGGGAAACAGGAGUAGUGAUCCCUUACUGGGCUUUUACUGCACAAGACAUCAACAAAGACAGUUGGUAACAAUGACCUAACAGAGUUUACCAUUAUUUUGUAAAAUUGUACCAAUAAGCAAGUAACUCACGGUCCAUUGAAUCAUUAGCAAAGCCGAUAAGUGAACAAAACCGAUAUACACUAUGGCAGUGAUGCAUGCCAGACAUGACAGAGUACUGGUGGCAACACAAGAUACUUGUUCCAUCAAAUUGUGAACAACCAAAGCUGGCUAAGAUAAACCAUGGGCAAAAGUUACACCCUGCAACCCACUUAGCAUUGGUGCUCUAAACAGGCCAGCUCUUAUCUACAGAUGGAUACCAAGAUGACAUAUGAAGAGAACUCUUAUGAUACUAUCUAACGUAUUUAUUAUAACUAUAGAAUUUUAUCGGAUAACCGAAAUAAACAACUAACACAACUCCGGGUACCUUCUUCUCACUCAUGAUCCAAUAAUUAGCAGGCUCUUAAGUUCUCAUUUAGCAUGAAUGGCUUGUACUACUGAUGCAUACCGGUCCUUAUCCUUAUUCAGGGACAACCAUUUCAGCUGAGCACUUGGAUUCAGGAGUUCGUACCUAAAUCUGUGCAGACCAAAAAGAAGAGGUAAAACAGGAUCAUUCAAGUGCAUAAUUACAAAAUAGACAUAGAUCACCCAUAUUUAAAUAUUUAAUAGAAAUGAGUAGUUGGUUAAGUCUCCAUAAAAACGAUACACAUCCAAAAACUUGUUUUAAAUUUACAGACAAUAUAAAAUUGUCAUUUCAUAAUAGCAAAGUAAUGCUUUCCAAACCCAUUUGUGCUAAAACCACAGGCAUACAACACAUCCCUAGAUAACAGCUAGUAGGCCGCUCACAAUUUGUUAUUUCAUCCAGGCCACAAGGCAUGCGAAAAUCUUAAAUAAAUGAAAUGCACUUGUCGACAGGAAUGAUUCUUGAAUGGUUCUUCAGUUUCUAAGUUGCUAAGACUAUGGAUGUGGUAGAAGAAAGGCAUAGAAAAACUGGAAGUCUCUACUUGAUAUAGGGGUAUUUAAAAAUGUAAGGAUUCAGUUUAACUUCUGGAGCGAUUCCUAAUAAAUUAGUUAAAAUUAAAAUAAUUCAAUGGUUGUUCCAUGAACUCGUCAGUCGUCGGCAUUGAGCUUAAGCUCUGCUCUGAACCUGCUGGUGAUUUCUAACUACUGAAACAUUCGUCGGCGUUGAGCUUAAGCUCUGCUCUGGUAAUGCUCAGUGCACUAAUGCGUUGCAUAACCCAGUGAUUUCUAACUUAUGACAAAUGUAGUGCAGUCAUGAAUAUUAUUAUUUUUUUCCUCUCAAACACACGGGCAUGAUUAAUAAAACAGAGCAUGAUUAAUCUAUCAUUCAUUGAAGGAAGGAAAAAAGUAAAACAAUCACCGAGGGUGAGAUUCCAUUCAUGCAUCCUGUAACGUGGAUAGAAAAAUCACCAUGUUUGGCAGAACCAUACACGCAUCCACGGACGGCUUCACAACGUUGGCAUCGAAACAAACAAUUGGUGGGCAUGGAAUGGCGGUGGCCAAUGAGUCAUCAUUUGUUCAAUAUUGAUCCGUCACGUUGAUUCUUAUCAAGCAAUUCAGAUGAUUCUUCUUCACAAAAGAGAAAAGACGAAGGAAGGGAGAGAAGAGAUGGAAGAUACCUUGAACGCCUCGUCAGCCGCCGCUCGCUGUUGGCUGCUGCUGUGGAGUGUGGAUUACGGGUGGGAACUGGGAAGGAUCCGUGCCUCGUCAGCCGCGGCGAAGGGCGAGGAGCGAGGGCGGGGAGCGGAGGCCGGGUCCGUGUGCAAGGGCGGGAUGGAGCUAUUGCAGCGGGGGCGGGUGGAACCAGGGUGGCUCAUCGUCGUCGGCCUCAUCCACCUCCAGCUCUGCAUAUGCAGUAUUGAUGGACACGAGCUCUCAGCUCGUCCUCCCACCACCGGAAGGGGUGCGCCUCCAUGGGCGGUAGGCAGUUGGAGCACGAGAGGUUGGGCGUGGUCGAAUCCGUGUGCAAGGGCGCGCGGGGCUGAGCUAUUGCGUCAGGGGCGGCCGUGGGCAUGGGCGGAGUAGGCAGACCGCAGACAUGGGUGCUCGAUCUUUUUUUCUGUGGAGGAUGAGGGCAGGCGACGGGAGAGAGAACAGGUAACCGUCAGACGCCCGCAUGCAACGCGGAGGAGGCAGGCCGUUGGUCUUUUUUUUAGUUGUAGAGAUUUACAGAGCAUAGUUUUUAAGAUGGUACGAUUGACAUUAACUAUGUUUACAAACGGAAAGUCAAUCAAGCUGGAAGUAAAUAUAGAUGAAUCUAAUUGGCAACACGCUGUCAAUAUAUAUGAUUUAUUUAAUUUUGUGCUUCAAUUUUAUAAUUUUAUAUAUAGUUGACCAUCAUUUGAAUUGCGAAUAUUCAUGUUGGUAGAAAUAUUUUGUGGAUGCUCUUUUAAUAUUUUGUGGUUGCUGCGCUUAAAAUAGUUUUUAUUUGCAAGUUUUGAUAACGUGCCCAGAGAAAGAUUUGAAGUUUUUUUAUGAAGAUUAAGUAGUAGUACUUAUGAUCGUGUUUAUAAACGGAGCAUAUAGGGUAAAUGGGCGAGCAUUCCAGAAACGCCUGCCUUGGGAUGUCUGCCAACUACGGGAUGUGCUGGCUCAAUCUCUGCUAGCAGCCAGUGAAAAGUUGAAGCAGCAGACGUGGAGAACGGUGGCUCCACGAGACUGCUGCAGGAAGCAAUCUCCCUGUUUAACAGCAGACGCCAUCUAAGCCAAGUUCUUUUUGCAGACCUCAACGAGACCACGCCGACAUCUGAGGCAAGUUAAAGGCAGAUCUGCAUUUUUUGGAUAAUAUUAUUGACUACUAUCGAUUUUUUUAAAAAUCUCAAAAUAAAGUGGCUCCUAUUAUAGCUGUGUUAAAUUGUUACAUACAUUUAUAUACAUCAUCUAUGUAUGUCCUUUGCCACAUUUAAUUUCAUGACCGAUAAAGAUUUGAUUAAAAUUUAUGAUUUCUUACGAUAUGCCAAAAAUCAGAAAAGAUUGAAAAAUCCAAUAGAGAUAACCUGAUUUGUUUCAACUGUUGACCAACAGAAAAAUGUAAAAAACAAAGUCGGGAUGAUGGGCCUAGAUGUGAUGCAUCCAGCUAAUUGGCAAGGCCAGCAGCCGGCCUUUGCUACGAUCCAUACUAUGGGGCAUGGAGUGAUUCCAGUGGAUGGGGGCGCGGCCCAGCGACCGGCGACGCCAACUGUCUAGACAAUUGGCAAUGGAGUUAUGCCAUCAGCUAAUGCACCAACCCACCAAGAGCACCACAAUGCCACCGCUGAGUUACCAAGUGAGAAAUGUCCUUUGCUAGAUUAUUUCAAAAAUAAUUAUGUGUGUAACUACUUGUCUCACAUUUACACAGUUUACAUAUUACUAUGCUGGUAUUUAAAGGUUAAAAUUAUUAAAAUAUAUAUAAAUGGUUUCUAGGAUAUCAUCAAUGGCGCCCUGUUCAACUCUGUACGCAAUGUCAACAAUUUUCAGAUGCACUACCUACAAACUGGUAGAUCUUUCCUCAAGAUGUUUCAACGCCCAAUAAAAAAUUUCAUGGUAACCAAUAUAAUAAACAAUGUAUUUGGUGAAUAUUUAUUUGGUUUCAUCUAAGGAUGUAAUUUUAUUUUUUAAAAAAUGUAGGCCUUACCACGUGGAUUUGGGAUCAGCAUCAGGGACGAAUUGAUGCCAGUGGUGAAUCUAGUCGGGGACAACUCACUUCCAUAUCCUGUCAAUGUGACAGAUGUGGGGGGGCGCCUCUACUUUACUAAUGGAUGGGAGCAAUUUGUGCUUGCUGAAAGAAUUCAGCCAGAUGAUGUUGGCCUCUUCAUAGUAACUGCUCCUCGAAAGAUAUGCAUGCGCCUCUACUACCGCAGUGGCUUAGAGAAACCAUUGAGCGCACGUGUGGUAGGCGUCGAUCCUGACGUUCCGCCCCCAUCCGGCACAAACAUUUACGGUAACAUUUUUUUAAACAUGUAACACUGAUAAAAUCAAAUCAUAAUACAGUGAGUUGAAUAUAAUAAUCCAAUAUGAAACUACGUCGUGCAGUGCCAUCACACAUCCUUGGGAUGGAGUUCGAACUUGGGCCUAAGCUGUCGAUGACUUCUGCGAUCAUGCAGCAAAUGGCUAACGUCUGGGCAACACGUGUAUGCAACAAUCCACUGUACGCCUGCAAGGUGAUCAAGAGCCACAUACAAAAAAAAAAGGCACUGGUGCGUUGUCUCCAGAAUACAUAAAUAUAUACUACCAUCUGAACUAAAGAAUAACAUAAUUACCAUGGUUUAAAAUUCAUUGCUGUUUGGCAGUACUUUGGCAGCAAGUUCUCAGCAAUGCUACCACAGUCUUAUCGAGCUCCUGCAGCAGUCUUCUAUGGAGAUGGAAACCAAGUGAUCAUAGGUGCCAUCACGAAAAGUGGACAUGAUGGCCUGGCGAGGCUUAGUUCGGGAUUUGGCACACUCGUGAGGGAUCACGGCAUUGAAGAAGGAGACAUCCUUGUCGUCAGAAUGCGUGAGCUUGAGGGUGCCUACCAUAUCAGGAUCUUCAAAGUUCUAGCCUGAAGAUGGAUAGCUGGUGAUGCCUAAGAUCAUGCUGAACUCGAUUUACUACUUCAACACUUGUUCAAAGUAUCAGCCAAUAAUUCGUCUAGUUGCGUCUGUAAACGCUGCAUUGUCUACAAGUAUUACAGUGUGUGUGUGUGCGCUACGAACUUAGCAAUCAAUUGCUUCCUUUUAGUAAUUCUAUUUGUAACAAGACAACAGACCAUAAGUGUCUGUGGACAAGUAGAAAGUAUCGGCCAACUACUGCCUUUUGAUGUUGCUGUUUGAGUAAUAACUAUAUGCCAUUAUAGUAUGUGGUCCAAUAUUUAUCAUGUCAACAAAACCGGAAAAUCCAUUGCACUAAACCCUGAUUUGUGCGCCUCUACUUCCUCUGUCUUAUCAUAAUCAGUGAUGACCUGCGAUACUCUAUAAUUUAGUUGAAUUAUGCUUAUAAACCCUGGUAAAUAUACAAAAUCAAUCGAGAACAAGUAUAGAACUAGGCUGAUUGUCGAAACGUGCAAGUCAGAUGAGUAUAAAAAUCUUUUCAAAAACCAAUAGAGCUAAUAAACAACAAGAGACAACAAUUCACAAAAGAAUAAAAUUUAAAAUGGCCUAAGUAGCUUCGGUAUAAGGAGUGGACCCACUCGUAAUAGAAUGUAAAACCUAGAGACUGAUAAGCUUACAGUGUACACAACUAAACAAUUAAAAGUAAGUGGUCAAACAUAUGUAACUUUUUGCUAUUGGACCCAACACUAUGAGUACGGCGAGUUUAUGGAAAACUUAAGCAUAGUUAAAGAAGUGUCGUUAAUUACAAACUAAAUUAAAUUCACAGUUUUAAUGUACAAACUAAAUUAUAAAACCCAAUAAUGAUGGGAUGAUGAUAAAUAAAAACAUAAUUCAUUUACAUUUAUACAGCAAUGGUUGAGACGCCGUGUAACUCAGGACGACCUGGAAUCUUUAAAAAAAAAAUCAAGUUUUUAUUAACAUGCUGAAAAUAUGAAAAUUCUAAAAUAACCCUAACGAUUGUUACUCAUUACAAAAUGUAUUUUAAUUUCGAAAAAGUGAGAAAUAAACUUGACAAAGGUCCAAGAAAAAAGAGAGAAAUAUUAACCGCCAAAUUUUUCAAAGCUACCGCGCCAUGGUAUUUUGAAUUUCAAAUGAUAGCUGUACUAGGCAACUUUUGCUGAAUAAGACAAAAAUAAUAAAAAAAUAAGUAGAUAAAAAGAAAAAACCUUGAUGAAUUUAAUGCUUACUAGGCUAUAAAAAUAGAAUCUGGAAGACGGUUGUGUAUAUUCACAAUAGAAUCCCCAAAACAUGCUCCUAUUGUGGCAUAGUUACAUAUAGAAGAGUAUGGAUCUGCCGACGGCGACUUGCGAGCUUGUAAUGAAGCCCCAUGGAAGGGUUGCUGGAGAUCAAGAUGUCGCCAUGACACCCUGCAAAGUGGCUAAAGCCCUGCCAUUGCCAAUUUGCGGCCCCAACAGGCUUAAGGUGACCAUUAAACAACUAAUCGAUGCGUCAAAGAAGCCGACUCACUUGGGUCGCCUGAUGAUUGGAGGAUCAAUGGUUCACACGGUAAUCUACCAAUAAAAACACCAUAGGCACAUGCUUAUGUUGUUCCUGUUGUUGGCUAUUUUAAACGCAAACAGAAAAAUCCGCAAGCGCACGGAUACCGAUGUAGCUUUCACCCGGGAGUAUUCCAGAGUAUCGAUUUUCCACAGGGAACGUAAGUGUACUAAUUAAGAUUCAAGAUCGCCCAAGGAUAACUAUAUAAUUAUUGGGAAGAGAGGAAGAGAGUUCUCUAGUUGAUCUAAGAAUCAAGAAGAUUAUUUAUUUCAGGACAUCAGAACACUAACCACAGAAAGAGAUGAGAAGGGGGCUAGGAAGUUCUGACUACAAUCCUACAAACACCGAUCCGAACGAGGUGGAAUACGUCGACCGUUAGGGCUGUCACUACCCUAGGGUUACCACAACAAUCCGUAGGAUUGAGUGCAAUUCCAGGUAAUUGCAAGACUAAACACCACGUCUAAUCUAUUAAUUACUACUCUAGCGUUGCAAAGACUAGAGCACUUGAUGCAAGCAGGAAUCCAAUAACUUGAAUGUAAAUAAAAGUAAUUAAAGAACUCAGAAAUUAUGAAUUGAAGAACUUGGAGAACGAUGAAGAACGAACCAGUUGCUGCAAAAGUACAAUGUUGAGGAAGAUCCGACAGAUCCAACUCCUCCUCCGCUCUCCUCUUCUCUCUCCCUAUUUUCUAGAUUACAACUAGAACUAACUAGAACUAGAACUAGAUGAACUAGAACUAGAACUAGAUAAACUAGAGGGAUCCUCUCUACUUGGAUGAAUAAUUGAAACCUUAGCUUUGAUUCUGUAGAAGAGAUAUGCCUCCAGGGGCCAAGGGGGCCUGCUUACAUAGCCCCUCCAAAUGAAUAUGGGCCGUCGGAUCAAACCGACCUUAAUCACACGGUUAUUCUUGAAGAUUAGAGGCGGUGGAGCACGAUCCGCGAGACCUGCCCUGAUUGGUCACUAGGGCAGGGCGGGCGCCCAAGGGGGGAGGGCGGGCGCCUAGCCCCCGGGCCCGCUCGGCCUUCCGUUCGUUCCCGUGGCUUCUAGAGUCUUCUAGAUGAUAGAAAAUUGACGCACAUGUUAAUAUCUCUAUGUAAACCCGACGUGUGGGCCUUUCCUCCAUGUUUCCUGAUAACCCCCUGCAGAAAUAGACAAACACCAAAACUCGUGGAAUUCUGUCAGAUAAAACCCUAAUUUUGGAUGUUGGUUGCAUAUAGAUCCUUUUCCAUGAUUAGUUGACGGUUAAAUGUGAGCAUUAAGGACCGUCAACACCUGUCUCCCCCUUGAACCUAUUUGAUUUACUAGAUAUACUAAACAUUCAAUGGCAAC
rnacentral:lncRNA from 1 species